CAGCCGCUUCAUAUAUUUUUUUUUCUUUUUUGACUUCUUUUUUAAUUUGCAUAUAUACAUAUUUUUAAAUUCUCUUAAUGUUUUGAGUGUGUACCUAAAAAUGUAAACUAUAAAACAAUAUAGUUUGUAUAUUUACAGAUGCAGCAAUAUUACUUUUGUGCUACACACAGUCAUGACGAAGCCCAAAGCAAGAAGCUGCCCCUAUUGUGGAGCAAGCAUCAUGCCAAUCAGAAGACCUGUGCCAGCUGCUGUGUUUGCCUCCUGCAAAAAAAGUCAUUCAAAGAAAAAGAAAAGGCAGUGAGUAUUGACUUUGAUGUGUUGUGUGUGUGCAUCCAUUGUAUUCAUUAAAGGUUGUUGAACAUAAUGCCGCCUCUUUAUAUGAGCCACCCCUAACCUUAAAUUUAGCUAAAGAUUCAAAAUGAGUUGGCUCAUUAUUGACAUAUGGGCUUGUGGUCCAAAUAGCAUUUUUUUCUGAUCAAUAGCACAUUUUUCACCAAUGAGGAGAGAGCUAGGCCCGGUUCCAGAACCAAAUGACUUCAGGUGCAUCUCAAAUUAGUGGUGGUACCCUAGUAGUUACAGUGCGAGCUGCCAACAGCUAUUAAAGUAGAAUAGUGUAUGAUGAUCCAGAGUUGGGUCCCAGAUAAACAGAUUAUGCUGAACACAGACGAAUAAAGUUGUAGACAGCAGUAAGUUAAACAGGGUGUCAGUCAUUUUCAGCAACAGUUUGCUUUACGAGUCAGAAGGACACCCAUACCCUCAAACUCCAGUCCUCAGAGGAAUCAUGGCUAAAUACUGUGACCAGUGCAGUGCAAACACAUUUGUAUAUCAUUAAUUACUAAACUAUGUGUCCAUGUAUGAGGUGGGAUACAUUAGAAUUCCAAAUAAAACAGUCUUUGUUAUAAUCAUAUAAUCAAUCAGUUUAUAUAUUAUUAUAUUAACUAUUUAUGGGAAAAUCAUACUUCAUUUGUCAUUGGCUGCAGAUUCGUGAGGAGCUGUGUUCAUGUUGUGACUCUCUGAACCAUCCAGACAUUUCCUGAGACGAAGAUUUCUAUUUGUUGAGCUGUUGCUAUCAUGUUUAACUGAUUAGCUCAGUUGUUUCAGAGCUAUGAGACCAGUGAUGUGACAAUUAAUCACCACACCCGCUGACCUUUAUUAAUCUUCAUCCAACUCUUUUGCUGAUUGAGCUGCUGGUGAGCAUGAAGACGCCCACGCAGUCCAUGUGCCAGACCACCUUAUGCUUGGCAUUAAUAUGCAAUUUGAACUGAAAGUGCAAAAUAUUAAACUGAGGGUGCAAUGCAUGUGUUUGCAUCUCCGAAGAACUAAACCAAAAAGAAAUGGAGGGAAAACUUGUUUUGGCCAUGUCUGUCUCCUGAGCUUUAUGAUAUUUCAGACAGAAACUAUAAUAACAGAGACAGUGAACUCUCUGUUAACAUAGCAUUUGUUUCUCUCAAUGCACAAGUGCUUCAUCCCAGCGCUCCACUGAACCCUGUCCACAAUUUUCUGUCUGAAAGAAUGUUAUAUGUACACACACCUACAGUUCAUUAGAAAACUCUCAAGAAACCCUUGAAAAAGAUUAUAGACAUUAGCAA
ensembl:lncRNA